UACGUAGGGUGCAAGCGUUAAUCGGAAUUACUGGGCGUAAAGCGUGCGCAGGCGGUUGUGCAAGACAGGUGUGAAAUCCCCGGGCUUAACCUGGGAACUGCAUCUGUGACUGCAUUGCUGGAGUGCGGCAGAGGGGGAUGGAAUUCCGCGUGUAGCAGUGAAAUGCGUAGAUAUGCGGAGGAACACCGAUGGCGAAGGCAAUCCCCUGGGCCUGCACUGACGCUCAUGCACGAAAGCGUGGGGAGCAAACAGG
rnacentral:rRNA from 1 species